GUUGGGUGGCCUAUGUCCAUGAAGAGCAGGGAUCUCACGAAGAAACCUGUUAUACUCAAACACAUUAACAGGUCGAGCAUUCAACAGUGCAUCGAGCCAUUCAAUCUCUUCCCCAUUAUGAAAUUCCACAUGAAAAACAAUGAAGAAGACGACUCCAAACUCAUCCUCCAACAAUCAAGAAAUGCGAUGAACACUCGAACAAGCUCCGACGCAAGCGGAUUGCAGCGCCACAAACUCAACAUGAUUAGUGGCCUCCAAAUUCGAGACUGAAUCCAACCGAUUCCAAGUUUUUCAUUUCAUCUUCAUGCGUGCGAGGAAUUCAAAGAAAACAAUACUGACGUGAGGCAAGGGAGCUUACCGAUUUGGAGUUUCGACGGGAAGAAUUCAAGUUCAGAUCUUGUGCCUUUUGCGGAUGCCUUAUGUGCGCGCGUGUUGUUGUUCUUCCGAGUUGAUGAUAGUUGCGUGAGAGGUUCUGAAUCUCUCUCCGUUUCAUCUUUUUUUGGUGAGUUCGUUGAGAAGUGCAAAUCUUCGAUUGAGGGUUCGUUCUGUUGUCGACGUUACGAUAUGUUGGUAUGUUGUAAUGGAGAGUAGAAGUGGAGGCGCACAGUGAACCGUGGUGUUGUUAUGCUGAAAAGUUCGUGAUGAUGAAACGAGGCGUAAAGAUUUUGAAUGAAGGUUGACUUUUUUGGCAGUCAAGAAAAGUGAAGCUCUUGGUGUGAAGAAGAUUGAAGACUCGAAAUUUUAUUUGAGAGUGAAAGAUGAAGGUUGAAGAAGAUUGAAUCUCUUGAUGAGGUUGUUUGGAAGUUGGCUUUUGGAGGUUUUUAUUCUGUUAUGUUAAUCGGUUUUGCAGGUUAAGGUUAAAAGGACUCUGUUAUGGAGAGUGGAAUUAAUGGUUGGUGAAAAUGAAUAUAAGUUGGAUGUGCAGGUUAUGCAUUUGGCCUAUGGUAUUACAUUCAAUGCAUCUGACAGUGUUAGGGUUUUUUUCUCCAAGAGAGAUGUUCGGAAUGGUAUCACAGGCCAUGUGAAUUUGGCAUCUUUGGAAGUUAAAUUGUAAUUGAAACUGAAAUAUGAAUAUUGGUAUAAGGUUGUAAUGGAUCAAAAAAUGAACACGGCCCAAGCAUGGUUUAUAAUGCAAUUGUGAAUGAAGAUAACUUUGUUUGAAAUA